UACGUAGGGGGCAAGCGUUGUCCGGAUUUAUUGGGCGUAAAGAGCGUGUAGGCGGCCAGACAGGUCCGUUGUGAAAACUCGAGGCUCAACCUCGAGACGCCGAUGGAAACCGUCUGGCUAGAGUCCGGAAGAGGAGAGUGGAAUUCCUGGAGUAGCGGUGAAAUGCGCAGAUAUCAGGAAGAACACCCGUGGCUAAGGCGGCUCUCUAGUACGGUACUGACGCUGAGACGCGAAAGCGUGGGGAGCGAACAGG
rnacentral:rRNA from 1 species